UGCUAAGGCUGAUGGCGACCGGCGCACGGGUGAGUAACACGUAUCCAACCUGCCGUCUACUCUUGGCCAGCCUUCUGAAAGGAAGAUUAAUCCAGGAUGGCAUCAUGAGUUCACAUGUCCGCAUGAUUAAAGGUAUUUUCCGGUAGACGAUGGGGAUGCGUUCCAUUAGAUAGUAGGCGGGGUAACGGCCCACCUAGUCAACGAUGGAUAGGGGUUCUGAGAGGAAGGUCCCCCACAUUGGAACUGAGACACGGUCCAAACUCCUACGGGAGGCAGCAGUGAGGAAUAUUGGUCAAUGGGCGAUGGCCUGAACCAGCCAAGUAGCGUGAAGGAUGACUGCCCUAUGGGUUGUAAACUUCUUUUAUAAAGGAAUAAAGUCGGGUAUGCAUACCCGUUUGCAUGUACUUUAUGAAUAAGGAUCGGCUAACUCCGUGCCAGCAGCCGCGGUAAUACGGAGGAUCCGAGCGUUAUCCGGAUUUAUUGGGUUUAAAGGGAGCGUAGAUGGAUGUUUAAGUCAGUUGUGAAAGUUUGCGGCUCAACCGUAAAAUUGCAGUUGAUACUGGAUGUCUUGAGUGCAGUUGAGGCAGGCGGAAUUCGUGGUGUAGCGGUGAAAUGCU
rnacentral:rRNA from 1 species